rnacentral:rRNA from 1 species
CCUACGGGAGGCAGCAGUGGGGAAUAUUGCACAAUGGGGGAAACCCUGAUGUAGCGAUGCCGCGUGUGUGAAGAAGUACUUCGGUAUGUAAAGCACUAUCAGCAGGGAAGAAAACGACGGUACCUGUGAACGAAGCGCCGGCUAACUACGUGCCAGCAGCCGCGGUAAUACGGAGUGGGCAAGCGUUAACCGGAUUUACUGGGUGUAACGGGAGCGUAGACGGCAGUGCAAGUCUGGAGUGAAAGGCGGGGGCUCAACCCCCGGACUGCUCUGGAAACUGGACGGCUGGAGUGCAGGAGAGGUGAGUAGAAUUCCUGGUGUAGCGGUGAAAUGCGUAGAUAUUAGGAGGAACACCAGUGGCGAAGGCGGCUUACUGGAC